rnacentral:rRNA from 1 species
AAAAACUCCGGUGGUGUAAGAUGGACCCGCGUCUGAUUAGCUUGUUGGCGGGGUAGAGGCCCACCAAGGCGACGAUCAGUAGCCGGCCUGAGAGGGUGGACGGCCACAUUGGGACUGAGACACGGCCCAAACUCCUACGGGAGGCAGCAGUGGGGGAUAUUGGACAAUGGGGGAAACCCUGAUCCAGCGACGCCGCGUGAGUGAAGAAGUAUUUCGGUAUGUAAAGCUCUGUCAGCAGGGAAGAAAGAAAUGACGGUACCUGACCAAGAAGCCCCGGCUAACUACGUGCCAGCAGCCGCGGUAAUACGUAGGGGGCAAGCGUUAUCCGGAAUUACUGGGUGUAAAGGGAGCGUAGACGGUGAUGCAAGUCUGGAGUGAAAGGCGGGGGCCCAACCCCCGGACUGCUCUGGAAACUGUGUAACUUGAGUGCAGGAGAGGUAAGCGGAGUUCCUAGUGUAGCGGUGAAAUGCGUAGAUAUUAGGAGGAACACCAGUGGCGAAGGCGGCUUACUGGACUGUAACUGACGUUGAGGCUCGAAAGCGUGGGGAGCAAACAGGAUUAGAUACCCUGGUAGUCCACGCCGUAAACGAUGAAAUCUAGGUGUCGGUGGGUAUGGACCCACCG